rnacentral:rRNA from 1 species
UACGGAGGAUGCGAGCGUUAUCCGGAUUUAUUGGGUUUAAAGGGUGCGCAGGCGGGCGAUUAAGUCAGCGGUGAAAGGCGACGGCUCAACCGGAGCAGUGCCGUUGAUACUGGUUGUCUUGAAUGCGGUCAAGGCCGGCGGAAUGUGACGUGUAGCGGUGAAAUGCAUAGAUAUGUCACAGAACACCGAUAGCGAAGGCAGCUGGCCGGGCCUGCAUUGACGCUCAGGCACGAAAGCGUGGGGAU